rnacentral:rRNA from 1 species
UGGGGAAUUUUGGACAAUGGGCGAAAGCCUGAUCCAGCAAUGCCGCGUGUGUGAAGAAGGCCUUCGGGUUGUAAAGCACUUUUGUCCGGAAAGAAAUCCUUGGCUCUAAUACAGUCGGGGGAUGACGGUACCGGAAGAAUAAGCACCGGCUAACUACGUGCCAGCAGCCGCGGUAAUACGUAGGGUGCAAGCGUUAAUCGGAAUUACUGGGCGUAAAGCGUGCGCAGGCGGUUUGCUAAGACCGAUGUGAAAUCCCCGGGCUCAACCUGGGAACUGCAUUGGUGACUGGCAGGCUAGAGUAUGGCAGAGGGGGGUAGAAUUCCACGUGUAGCAGUGAAAUGCGUAGAGAUGUGGAGGAAUACCGAUGGCGAAGGCAGCCCCCUGGGCCAAUACUGACGCUCAUGCACGAAAGCGUGGGGAGCAAACAGGAUUAGAUACCCUGGUAAUCCACGCCCUAAACGAUGUCAACUAGUUGUUGGGGAUUCAUUUCCUUAGUAACGUAGCUAACGCGUGAAGUUGACCGCCUGGGGAGUACGGUCGCAAGAUUAAAACUU